rnacentral:rRNA from 1 species
GUCUUUUUGAUUUUAAUUUAAAGUCAAAUCUCCCCCCUGAUUAAUAUUAAAGGGCUGCAGUAUAUUGACUGUACAAAGGUAGCAUAAUAAAUAGUCUUUUAAUUGAAGACUUGUAUGAAAGAUUUGAUGAGAUAUAAACUGUCUCUUUUUUAUAUUUAGAAUUUAAUUUUUUAGUAAAAAAGCUAAAAUUAUUUUAAAAGACGAGAAGACCCUAUAGAGUUUUAUAGUUAAUUUAUUUAUAAAUUUAUAUGUAAAAUUUAAAAUUUAAUUAAUUUAAUUAUUUUGUUGGGGUGAUAGAAAAAUAUAUUAAACUUUUUUUUAAAAAAUUACAUUAAUUAAUGAGUAUAUGAUCCAUAAAUUAUGAUUAAAAGAAAAAAUUACCUUAGGGAUAACAGCGUAAUUUUUUUUUUUAGUUCUUAUAGGAAAAAGAGUUUGCGACCUCGAUGUUGGAUUAAGAUAAAAUUUAAAUGUAGAAGUUUAAAAUUUUUGAUCUGUUCGAUCAUUAAAAUCUUACA